rnacentral:lncRNA from 1 species
GGGGCACACGGGGAGCCUAAGAAAGGCCUAAAGAGGUAGUGGGUGUGAGCCAGCCUCGGGCGCGUUAAAAAGGGGGCGCCGGAGGGAGGCAAGGAGAGGAAGUUGGGUGUAGGAAGAAGCGAGAGGAAACUGUUGCCUGGACAGAGCGUGCCGUGCCAAAGCGCGGAAACGGGAUCAAGGAGGGGGCAUCAGGAAUCGCCUGGGGACCCCCCGGAGAGUGGCGGAAGCGGUGCCCUUGGGCGCAGCAAAGAGAGAAGGGAGCACAGGCUGAGAUAGAGACAGUCCUGGGCGCUGGAGAGCAGGAGCCCCCGGAGCGGCAGGGAAAGGAACGUAGAGCCUGCAUGCUCGGGGUAUGAGCUUACUGCGCUCGCUAGGGUGGCGCGCACUGGGGCUCUAGAAAAGAGGGUUGAGAAGCCCCGGGCAAGUGCCUAGGAAGGUCAGAGGAGUCAGCAAAGUCCACGGAAGAACUUCCCCGGGUUGGAGAGGAAACGCACCCUGGGAGCUGGAAAGAAGAGGAAAGCUAGCCUGGGGGAAGCUUGAUCAGGGCUCUGAGUACCACGAGGAGUGCAGAGGAGGUGCUGAUGAUUGCGGGGAGAGCUCUGAGAGCCCGAGAAAGAUGGGGAAACUGAAGCCCUAGAGGAAAAGAAGACUAAAUGUAUUACCAUCUGACCCACUUCCUGGCCAGCCUGUUCACCUGUCUGCUG